UUUCCCCUUUCCCCUCCUUUUCAACCUCCACACUCUUUACAGGAUCCCCACCGGGGAAAAUGUUAAAACAACAAAAUACAAAAGAUUACUGGAUAGAAUACCACACAUUCCUCCCCUUUAUAACAACCAAAAUUGAACGGAUUAAAAAUUUAGUGACAAAGUCUUUAAGUCUUUUAGGUGGUCCCCUGUCACACACACUUCUCCUAAGUCUUGAGUUCUCUGGCACAGGAGCUGUUUGUUCUUCUGGUACUGAGGCUCACCCAUCACUUUAAUCAGCCCAAUCUGUGGGGUCAAAACUGGAGACAAGAUCAAAUUCCUCUUCAGUUCCCCUCUUGAGAUCAGAUUCCCUUUCCUCUUGUCUCAUAGUAUGCAUGCUGGAAAGUCUCCAACUGUUCCAUUUCUUUCCAUCAUCCAAUAUGAUAGAAUCUCCUCAGAUUUCGAUUAUUUGUUUUAGUCCCAAAUAUCAGGAGCAUCCCGUUCUCACUUUAUAAGGCAAAUAUAAACAACAAAAACUCCCACCUGAAAUGUUUGCUGUUUUGCACCCUGUUUCUGAUCUACAUACAAUUUAUUUAUUUAUUUAUUGUUGCUUCUUCCUUACCCAAUCACGAAUCUCUGCAUCUUCAGGGAGAGAUGGCACAGAAAGUCCUAUCAGUUGUUGCCAUUGGGUAAGUUGGUGGUAACUUUGCAUCCUCUCAGUAGUUCAAAAGGUGAUUUUCCUGUAGUAGAAUGAGGAGUAGUUCAAUGAGCAAAUAGAUUUUCACGGAUUGCCUCCUUCCAGGGUUGCUGUUGAAUAGUAGCCAGUUGUAAACUUUAUUUCAUUAAUCUGUUCAUUCUUUCCACUAAGCCAUCCCUUGUUGUCAAGGGAUGUAGCCAGUAGUCAGUAUGUAGUCAGUGUCUGGUUACAUUUUCAAUGUGUGUGUCUAUACUUGGCCACCAAACACUUUCUGUGAUUUGCCUUUAGUCAAGGAAAUAGUCUUGUGUUUCAUCCCAUGGUUAUGCAAAUAUUGCUCCAUUUCAAAUGAGGUAAGCUGUGUCCCAUUGUCAGUCAUUAGCUCUUUAGGAAGACCUUCUCUUGCAAAAACUGCAGCCAUGAACUGUAUCACUUUAUCUGUAGUAAUGUUGUCAGCAAAUGAAACUUCAGGCCACUUGGAAUACUAAUCUACCAUCACUAUAACAAAUCUUUAUUUGUUAUAAAGGUUAUUAUAUCCAGAGCAAGUUUUCCCCAGAGACAACUGAGAUACUCUACUGGAGUCAAGUGGGUGGUAAAGGUCUUCUGUGAUUUGUUACAUACAGCACAAACCAUAUAUAAUCAGUGCCUGGUUACAUUUUCAAUGCGUGUGUCUAUGCCUAGCCACCAAAAACUUUCUGUGAUUUGCCUUUAGUCAAGCUCAUGCCCAAGUAACCUUCAUUGGCAAUUUUGAUCACUUUUGCUUGUAAGGAGGUUGGCACCACCAGUCAGUCCUCAGCACCAGCUCAUUGAGAAGGGACAGCUCCCUCACAAUGUGCAUGUAUGGUUGAAGAUGUUCAGGUAUCCUGUUUUUGUAUGGCCAUUCAUUAGUUAUGUAAGGAUUAAGUUCAAUAAGUAAGUAGUUGAUCAGCAUUGAGGGCCACUUUCCACUCAGAAGAUGAGAUCACUCCCAUGAGUGGAUGAAGCUAUUUGCACAAUUAUUACUCCUUCAUUUUUAUCUUCUGGGAUUUAAUUAAUUUUAAUUUAAUUUAAUUUAAUUUAAUUUACAUUUUCUAUCCCGCUCUUCCUCCAAGGAGCCCAGAGCGGUGUACUACAUACUUAUGUUUCUCCUCACAACAACUCUGUGAAGUAGGUUAGGCUGAGAGAGAAGUGACUGGCCCAGAGUCACCCAGCUAGUAUUAUGGCUGAAUGGGGAUUUGAACUCCGGUCUCCCCGGUCCUAGUCCAGCACUCUAGCCACUACACUACGCUGGCUCCCUCCAAGAGGGAUCUGCUCUUGGCCUGGAAGUGGAAGCCAAGAUAAACAAUCUGCAGUUGUAUUCUGAAUACCUGGAAGAUAUUCCACCUGGAAAUCAAAGUCCAUAAGUCAGGUGAUCCAUUUGGCUAUUCUUGGGGUUGCUUGACUCAAUCCCCAAGUAGUAAAUAAUGCAGAUAGGGGUUUAUAAUCUGACUGUAAAGAGAAUUUUGUGCCCCACAAGUAAGACCUUAAGUGCCUCACCACCCAGAAACACGCUAGUGCUGCUUUUUCAAUGACAGAAUACAUCUUCUCUGAUGCAGUAAGCACUCUGGAAACAAAGGCAACUGUAACUUCCCUCUCCCCUUUUUCCUGGGUCAAGACAGCACCCAAGCCAUAUUCAGAAGCGUCAGUGGUUACAAUAGUGUGCCUCUUGGUGUCAAAAGAAAUGAGAGCAGAGCUUUCAGCAAUGGCCAGUUUGACAGUAUGAAAACUAGCCUUGCAGGAUGCAUUCCAGUUAAAUGUUGUUUUCUUUUUAAAAAGAAGAUGCAAUGGAGCAACCUUUGAGGAAAAUUGUCUAACAAAUUUAGACUAAUACUCAGAGUCCUAAAAAUGAGCAAAAUGCAUCUGUUUGAUUGUUUAUCUGAUGCUUCCCAAAUAGCUUUCACCAAGUUUGUUCUGGGUUGUACAGCACUCUGAGAUAUUGUAAGGGUGUUCACAUGGCCUACAUGGUGGGCAGGCAAGAGGGGAGAAGGCAGGGUUCCAUCUACCUUCCUCCCAGAUCAGAAGACAAAUGUUGUCAAGAGCUGAAACCACGCUUCCAGACAAUCCAUACUGCACCAAGCAGUGCAGGUCUCCAGGAGCCAGGACGAAACAUCCCAGCCUCCAGAAUCCCACAAUGCACCAUGUGCCAAGCAUAGUACUACAUAGGGGGAUUCCCCCAUCAGUCAGGCAUUCUAGGUGCACAUCUCUGUGUGUACUCAGGCUGCAAGCAGCCCAAGCACAGAUACGAUCCUGACAGCUGGGUUAAGGGCACACUCGUUCCCUUAACCUCGGCUAAUAGCUGGGCUAAAGAGGUGGGUUUGGUGGCGCAGCAGCGCCAGGAUCCGCAUGGAUCCUGGUGGUUCCCAUGGGCAGUCAAGCCAAGGCUUGGCAGCUCAUAAGAACAGCCUUUGUGUGUCCCAAGUACGUCACUGAGUGAGUGCAAAACUGGCAUUUCUCUACAGAGAUAGUAAGUCCAUGUUGUCAGAAUUUUCUUAAGACUUCUGUCAGUUUAGCAUCAUGCGUCUCAAUGGUUUUACCAUACACUAAAAUGUCAUUCUGAAAAUAAGUGAUGCCAUCCGUAGUCCCAAAAAUUGUAUGCUUCAUUCUUUGAAAUACUGAAGCUGUAGAGGCUAAUCCAAAGGGCAGUCUUUUGAAUUAAAAAAUAUGUUCUGGGAUAACAUCUGAUAAGGCUAUGUAUUUGUGAGAACGUUUGAGCAGAGGAAUUUGAUGAUAGGCCAAAGACAAGUCAAAAGUUGUGAACACUGAAGCAGCAGCAGUUCAUUAAAACUGGGUAAUAAAUGACAAUCCACUACCAUGUUCAAGUUCACAUCUCUUAAAAUCAAUGCACAUUUGAAGUGUACUAUUUGAUUUUUGUACAAGAACAAUGGGAGAGACCCAUUCUGAGGAACCAACAGCCUUUAUGAUUCAGCAUGCUGUAGUCUUAUGAGUUCCUCUCUAAGUGGUUGGCACAGUGCUAUGGGUAAGUUCCUCACUUUGUGUUGUACAGGUAUUACAUUUGCCUUCAUCUGAAUUUUAUAUUUGAAACGUAUGGCAGUGCCAGGAGUAUCAGCAAAGACAUGCAAGAAAUCAGCAAUCAUGAUGAUGCUCCAUCAUCAGCAAUAUGGGUUCUGUGCUAUUUGGGACUAACACUAUCCACAGAUCUUUCUGAUGUUUCCAGCCCAAUAUUGAGACUCCUUUUUGUGACACAUACACUUUAUCUUUUGCAGUACAUCCUUUGUAUUUAGGACAGCAGUGAAGUAUCCAUUUAUGGCAAUAGGGAAACCUCCAUAUCCCCAUGGGUGGAUGUCUGAAGGCUACAGAUGCAGUCUGCAGAUCUGAUGUUGUAAGGAGCUUCUUGUAAAGCAUAUGGGAAAUGAUAGUGUACGGAGAACCAGAAUCAGCCAUUAUCCACACUUCAUGGCCAUUAGGUUUUACUUGACAAUGUGGAGACGCAGGCUCUGAGUCUGUCAUACUUAAACCGCUGUCGAGAAGUUGUUCAUCUGCCUUAUCCUUAUCAUAUAGUUAAUCACUAAUGGAGUGGACUGCAGACUUGCAAACCACAGCAGUGUCCCCUUUUCUUGAACCUGUUGCAAGUGACCUUCCAUGCAGAACAGUGAGCAAAAUUGCCUUUGUGGGCAGUCUCCACAUCAGUAGCAUUGGGAGCUCUUUCUUUCUUGUGCUGCCACUUUCUGGGGCAGUGCCAUACAGCAUUCUUUCUAACAGAGAAUUCCAGAGGUUGCUGACUACAACUCCCAGCAUCCCCAGCUGCAAUGGCCAUUGGCUGGGAAUUAUGGGAGUUGUAGUCAAUAACAUCUGGGAUUCCCUAUUAGAGGGAACACUGGUUCCAUAUGAGAAGAUUGGUUUUGGAAGGAUUUAGACUGAGCAGCCUGGAUUUCAGGAAGUUGGUUUUGGGGUACCAAAGAGAGUGAUUUGGCACAGUGAAGACCAUCUUUCACCCUCCUAGCCAUCUCUAUAACUUUAUCCAAGGUAAAUUUCAGUUCCAGUAGCAGUUUUUUAUGCAGUUUGGAGCAGUUUGUGUUCAUAACAAUCUGAUCUCUGAUAAUUUCAUCAAUAAAGUUGGCAAACCCAUAGUUUAAACUUAAGGCAUGCAAUGCUGUGACAUAUUGAUCAAUAGAUUCACCAGGCAGUUGAAUCUAACAUAGAACUUGUAUAAUUCAGCAAUCACAUUCAAAGUAGGGUUGAAAUGAUUAUCUAAGGCUUGAAGAGCAACUUCAUAAGGGUUGGCAUCCCAACUUGGUAGGAAACGGCAAAUGAGUAUAUAUUCUUUGGCCUUCAGGGCCCAGGCAGUGAAGCAAUAUAGUCUUGUGCUUUGCUAGAGUAAAGUCAGAAGUCUAUAGAGGUAAUUGCAGAAAUAGGACCUCCAUUGUUUCCAGGGAAGAGCAGAUUCUCCUGGGGUGGACAAGAAAAAAGGUGGUGGUGAAAUCUAAGCCAUGCUGCAGUGAGCAUCCCGUGAAAAACAGGAUCCAGGAGUGAUAAGAAAAAAGUACCUUCAGAGGUUGUGCAGGUCAGGGAGCUGGAGAAACAAUCAGCAGCAGCAGCAGUAGCAUGCAGCAGUUCAGGAAUGUAGAUUGCUUUUCAAGUAAUGCAAUGAAAUGAGGUUGCAGGAACAUUCACACGCUUUGCAGGCUCACACACAUAGCUGGUUCAUAAUUUUGUUGCCAAAUGCUUUAUAGCUGCUUCCCUCAUAAACUCAGAGCAAUCUUCUGUUUAACUAAGCUUUAUUUUUCUCCUUCUCCAUUUCCCCUGCCUUUUCUUUCUGACUCCUCCCCUCCACUCUCUACAGGAUCAACCCUGGGACAAAUGUACAAACAACAAAAUACAAAAAAUUACCGGAUAGAAUACAAGGUGAUGUGGGAAAUACAUAAUCAGAAUCUCCUGAGUGUUUUUUAAAACUAAUUUGAAGUCCUAUUAGUUUUUUAAAACUAAUUUGCAGAACAGUGGGAGGGAUAUUUUCCGGCCAUCCUGUUUAUCCAGUCUAAUCCUACAUCCCCAAGCUAUUAGCUCUGAAGAAUAAAACAUACAGCCCCAUCCCAAACUCUCAAAAUAACCUAAACUCUACUCUAAAGUGAGAUUUGUGUUUCUGUAGGUGUCAUAAGCUCUUACUAGUAAUUGUUUAUGAUAUUGCAAGUGAAACUUCAUGCUUUCCCUUUCCAGCACUGAGGGAGAGGAAUGAAGGAAUAGCAGUUUAAUGUCUUAAACAGGAAGUAGAGGCGAACCAUUGCAGGCUUAUUCUGCAGGCUUAUGAGAGUUAUCCCUCUCUUGAACCUUCUUCACGCACCCCCUCCCUAUAUUUGGCAUGCAGACAGUAUAUGGCACUACAGUUGAUAAAUAGAGAUAUAAAGGGACUAUUAUACAAAAAGGGGAACAGGCUGUGGGGCAUAUUGACUGAUCAUGGGGAAAGCCCCUAGAGGAGUGUUCACUGUAUGGAACAUAUUGCUGAAUGUAGGCCUAGUAGCUUUGACCAGCCAGCUUUAAAACCUCUUUAUAAAGAAGCCAUUUACAUUCCCUUUCAAAGCUAUUAAUAUGUCUUCUCCAGCUUCAUUCAGAGUACAUUUCAUUCAACUGAACAGUAUUACAUUGCACUGAAAUACACUGUAGUUAUUUUUUUUAGCCAUCAGCAAAUGUAAUAAAAGCAGCUGAAGGAAUGGCAGAGAAAUGGCAGCGAGGGUGAAGGUGGAAGGUUUCCUGAAAUGGUGGCAAGAUGGAAACUGAGUGAUGGACUAGCAGUUGCCUGGGAUGCUUAUUUGGGUAUAAGGACUAUAGAAAUAUGCUCACAUUUCAGCAGAAACAUGGUUCCAACAUUUUUCAGCCACCUAUAGUAUUAUUCAGAAUGAAUCAACUACAGAAUAUCCAUCUCCUAAAACAGACUUACUUCCAACCUGGCCUGCAAUCUCAGAACCAGAAUACAGAUGGUUAAUUGCCUCCCUGACUCCUGGGAAAGCCCCAGGGGAGUCUAAAAAGGACCUUUUGACCCUUCAGCUACAACCUUGGGAUUCUUUCAUUGCCAUUGUAUGCUUCUUUAUUGUUAAUACAUUUAUACAAUUGUCCAUUUUGUGAAUUGUCACAGAUGGGUUAUGAAUUUGUUUGUAUGGCAUCUUUUGGAUACAAUGGGUUUUUGGUAAUACGAUAUUGAUUCAUGGUAUGUAAUUUUUCCACAGAUUACUAUACAUGGUUUAUAUACAUAAUUUUAUGUAUAUGGUUUUUUUCUAUUAUUGAUAGAUUACUUUUCAGGUUACUGACAGAACUGCACUCCAAUCUCACAGCCAGGGUGAGAGUGGGUGGACAAGCAUCUCAAGAAAGGAGUCAAACAGGGCUGUUUACUGGGUCCCUUUUUAUUUAAUUUUUAUAUUAAUGACAUUGUUCAGACUAUGGAUUCACCAAAUCUCUUUUCCCCUUCGCUCAAUGGAUGGAAAGUUUCCGUCUUGAUGUAAGCCUGUUAUAUGGCACUUUUUCUUAUACUGAGAUUGGGCUUAGAAGAAUGCUGGCCAGAUUGGCCAACUACUGUGAAAAAGAAAAACUGAACUGAGGAACAAUGAUGAUAAAACAAAGGAGGUAGCCUUUGUACCCCUGCUAACUGAGCAAAGAGACACUUUUUAAAGUGGCGAUUCUCUUAUAUUUAUCAGGGGGAGACAACUGGUCUUAUCCAGCCCCAGCACAGCAUCCCUCCAGUGGCUGUUGCUGGUAUCUGCCUUAUGUUUCUUUUUUAUUGUGAGCCCUUUGGGGUCAGGGGACUAUUUUAUUUAUGUAUUAUUUAGUUUUCUUUGUAAACCACUUUGUGAACUUUGGUUGAAAAGUGGUAUAUAAGUAUUUGUCGUCGUCAUAGUCACCUUCAGCAGUAGAAAUAUUAAGCACAGAUGGUUAAUCAAUGCCCAGCAAAUAGAGCAAUGUUCUUCUUUGAAAUAUCUGGGUGGUUUAUCCCAGGAGUUCCUUUCAGGGAGAGUAUGUCUUAAUGCAGCACUAAUAACCACAUGAUGAACAGUGGAGGCUACUUUAAAUUUUUAAAGACAAAGUGGUUGCCUAGCUGGAAAUAAUACAGUACAACCUUUUAAGGGACAUUUUUGGUCUUCCUCAGGGCACUCCUGCCACACAUUUAAGAAUGGAGCUACCCCUCAAUUCUCCAUUAAGAGUUCAUUUGGCAUUGUUAAGAUACUUCAUGAAACUUGAUAGGCUCCCGGAAUAAAAUUUAGUGAAAUCCUGCUAUUUGCGUUAUCUAAAAGGGAACCAGUGGGAAAAUAUCUGUCCUACAUCAUGCAGCUGUACUCUUUGCCCUUGCUGAGGGAGCUUAAGUCUUAGAGGAGGGGGAAAUUCUGUGACUGGCUCAUUAAGUGGGAUGCUGAACUGGUGCAGCACCUGAAGUUUUCUUCAUAGUACCCUCACUUCAUUUAGUUCACAAUAUCUGGUCAAUCUCACCAGCACAACAUUAAGGAAGACAUUUACCACCCUACAAUUUAUGCCUUUGGAGUACCUUGAAAGGCAGAUUUCAUGAAGUCCUCAUGGAACAGCAUCUCUGCCCUUGUGGUCAGAGGCAAGUGGAAGACAUUAAACAUUAUGUCCUACACUGCCCCUUUUAUGAUGUAAUAAGAGAAAAAACAAUGGGAUAGAUUAUUGAUAAUUUUAUGGACUCUGAAGUGGAAUGUGUAACCUAUCUCUUGGCAGAUGUGAUAAUUUAUGUUACUUAUUAAAUAGACAUUUUUGCCUUGAUCUCUUUUUAAUUUAGAAAGAGAUUUGUCCCUGAUAAAUCCUCCAUAUUGGCUAAGUUGAAGCCUCAGGAUUAGCCUUACAUUGUUCAUUAUUCUAAUUGAAGGCCUAGUCCCAUGGUACCUAUUAACGUUGUAACAGCCGUUAGAGAUUUAAAGGAUGUCAUAAUUUCAUUUUAGUGCAUAUAAUAGUUUUAUGCAUUUUAUCAAUUAGUUGGUUUUUGGUUAUGUCUGGCUUGUGGGUUUUUUGCUAUGGGGUUUUUGUGUGUGUGUCUGUUUGUUGCUAUUUUUAUGUUUUAUCUAUAUGCUAUGUUAUGACCUGUGGUUACAACAAUAAACUUUAUUCUAAUUCUGAUUCAGUGGUGUAGUUAAAACCUGCCUGUACCAUAUAAACAACAUGUACAAAAAAAUGGGAUCUGGUGUAGUAUAGUGGUGACAUAUGAGAGCUAUAAGCCAUGAGGUCCCCAGUUCAAAUCCCAUCUCAGCUGUGAACUCAUUAGGUCCCUGAAGGCAAGCACCCAGUCUGAAAUAUUGGGAUAAUAAUACUUACUAGCCUUACAAGAUUAACUGUAACGAGGAUUGACUGAUAAAAACAAAUGUGAAGUUUUGAAUACUCCAAAAAGUACUAUAUAAAUGAUGACGGAACAUCCAUCGGCUGCCCUGUCUUGUGUUCGAGGAAAAGGCUGUGAUGCAGGUUUCUUGUUCCUGAUCCUCCUGCAUCCCAGAGUGCUGUAGUUAAAGAUUUGAUGCCAAAUAUCUGAAGAAGGCCUGAAGGCUAACAGGCCAGCCAGAUAUUAUACGACAUUAUUCCACAUUGCCCAUGAGGAGGGAGCCAAGGCUCUCAAGCACAUGGACAUCCGAGCUUGUCUAUGAACACUAGCCAAACAAGCCAAAGCAAUACAAGUGGAUCAGGAGGACAUCCAGGAUAGCCAAAAUCCUGCGACAUUGAACAAGACCAAGGACUCUUGGUUUUUACAUUCGAGGGCUCUCCAUGGUUUCCUUUGGCCAUGACAGACCCUAAAAGGACACAAAAGCGGGGUGAGAGUUGAUUUGAUCCACUUUUUUUCAUAGCAACUAUGUAUUGGGGUUUUUUUUUUUUUUUUGGUUGUUUAUUGAUACCUUGUUUAUUACCCCUGUUUAUCUCCUUGGGACGAGAGGCCGUUGAGAGAAUAGUAAGAAAAGAAACUGCCCCCCAUAUAAUGGCUAUGUAUACAAGGUUACCUCAGGAAGAGAAGCCAUAAAAUGGCUUCUAAGGGGGGAAAUGUGGAAUGAGGGGAAAAUGCCUUUUCUGAAAGCUGCUUUGUAAUCACUUUGUUCUCAUGGAAUGGGAAAGUGUCUUUGCAAAAAGUGUGAGACAGAACUCAGGUUUGCACUGGUCAAGAAAUGGUUAAUAGAGUCUGCAAGUUGCCUUGCCAAAUUGCAAGCUGUAAAGUCAUAAAUUUGCUGACAAGCUAGAGGGGGAAGAGCCCCCCUUUCCUUGUAUCUCCUGAAAAGCAAGGGCCAGCAAAAAAUAACACCUCAAGGAUAAAGAAGGAAGGCUUGCUUAUCAACGUAGAAUAAAAUGCUUCAUUGUACUAAGAGGAAUGUUUGUCUAAAUUAGCAAUGAUUAUAAUAUUUGUAAUAUGACGGACAAUGAUGUUAACCAAUGAAACGACUGGUCCCUCGGCGCUGAAUGUUGACGCCCAGCUAUAUAAUUAUGCCAAAGUAUAAUUACCCAGAACAAAGGCAGCUGCGCGCGACUCUCAGGUUUACCGUGAGGUACUGGGAGAAGCCACCAGCGCUGGGUUAAAUAAAUGGUGAUUUUGCUUCUUUCAA